UUCGUGUGGAAAGGUCUGUUGUGUGCGUCUUCAAGUUUUCAACACACCUCUAUGAAUGAGCGGCAGUGAAAAGUUUCAUCUGCGAGUCAACUAAAAACUCUAUUCUUUCCUUCGAUAUUAUAUGGACUAGCGCAGCGAAUCGAUUUACGAUAAAUGUAAUCUUUCAAAGUGUGAACUAUUUUUACAAAAUUUGGCAAAAAUAAGCUAUCAACGCUUUCGAGACAAAUACAAAAAUUUUUUUGACGAAAUUACUAGGAAAACCAAAGAAAAAUAUUUAAAAAACAAUUCGUUAUGUU